UACGUAGGGUGCGAGCGUUGUCCGGAAUUACUGGGCGUAAAGGGCUCGUAGGCGGCCAACUAAGUCAGACGUGAAAUCCCAAGGCUUAACCUUGGAACUGCGUCGGAUACUGGUUGGCUUGAAUCCGGGAGAGGGAUGUGGAAUUCCAGGUGUAGCGGUGAAAUGCGUAGAUAUCUGGAGGAACACCGGUGGCGAAGGCGGCUUGCCAGAAUGCGCUCGACGGUGAGGGAUGAAAGCUGGGGGAGCAAACCGG
rnacentral:rRNA from 1 species